GAUGAACGCUGGCGGCAGGCCUAACACAUGCAAGUCGAGCGAGGACUUCGGUCCUAGCGGCGGACGGGUGAGUAACGCGUGGGAACGUGCCCUUUGCUUCGGAAUAGCCCUGGGAAACUGGGAGUAAUACCGGAUGAGCCCUUUGGGGGAAAGAUUUAUCGGCGAAGGAUCGGCCCGCGUUGGAUUAGGUAGUUGGUGGGGUAAUGGCCUACCAAGCCGACGAUCCAUAGCUGGUUUGAGAGGAUGAUCAGCCACACUGGGACUGAGACACGGCCCAGACUCCUACGGGAGGCAGCAGUGGGGAAUCUUAGACAAUGGGGGAAACCCUGAUCUAGCCAUGCCGCGUGAGCGAUGAAGGCCUUAGGGUUGUAAAGCUCUUUCAGCUGGGAAGAUAAUGACGGUACCAGCAGAAGAAGCCCCGGCUAACUCCGUG
rnacentral:rRNA from 1 species